rnacentral:rRNA from 1 species
AGACCCGAAACCCGGUGAUCUAGCCAUGGGCAGGUUGAAGGUUGGGUAACACUAACUGGAGGACCGAACCGACUAAUGUUGAAAAAUUAGCGGAUGACCUGUGGCUGGGGGUGAAAGGCCAAUCAAACCGGGAGAUAGCUGGUUCUCCCCGAAAGCUAUUUAGGUAGCGCCUCGUGAAUUCAUCUCCGGGGGUAGAGCACUGUUUCGGCUAGGGGGCCAUCCCGGCUUACCAACCCGAUGCAAACUGCGAAUACCGGAGAAUGUUAUCACGGGAGACACACGGCGGGUGCUAACGUCCGUCGUGAAGAGGGAAACAACCCAGACCGCCAGCUAAGGUCCCAAAGUCAUGGUUAAGUGGGAAACGAUGUGGGAAGGCCCAGACAGCCAGGAUGUUGGCUUAGAAGCAGCCAUCAUUUAAAGAAAGCGUAAUAGCUCACUGGUCGAGUCGGCCUGCGCGGAAGAUGUAACGGGGCUAAACCAUGCACCGAAGCUGCGGCAGCGACGCUUAUGCGUUGUUGGGUAGGGGAGCGUUCUGUAAGCCUGUGAAGGUGGCCUGUGAGGGUGGCUGGAGGUAUCAGAAGUGCGAAUGCUGACAUAAGUAACGAUAAAGCGGGUGAAAAGCCCGCUCGCCGGAAGACCAAGGGUUCCUGUCCAACGUUAAUCGGGGCAGGGUGAGUCGACCCCUAAGGCGAGGCCGAAAGGCGUAGUCGAUGGGAAACGGGUUAAUAUUCCCGUACUUGGUGUUACUGCGAAGGGGGGACGGAGAAGGCUAUGUUGGCCGGGCGACGGUUGUCCCGGUUUAAGCGUGUAGGCUGGUUUUCCAGGCAAAUCCGGAAAAUCAAGGCUGAGGCGUGACGACGAGGCACUACGGUGCUGAAGCAACAAAUGCCCUGCUUCCAGGAAAAGCCUCUAAGCAUCAGGUAACAUCAAAUCGUACCCCAAACCGACACAGGUGGUCAGGUA